ensembl:misc_RNA Metazoa_SRP Metazoan signal recognition particle RNA
GCUGAGCACGGUGGUGCGUGCCUGUAGUUCCAGCUACUUGGGAGGCUGAGGCUGGAGGAUCACUUGAGCCCAGGAGUUCUGAGCUGUAGUGUGCUGUGCCCACUGGGUGUCCGUACUAAGUUCAGCAUCAAUACGGUGACCUCCUGGGGAUUGGGGGACCACCAGUUUGCCUAAUGGAGCAGGUUAAAACUCCCUCGAUGAUCAGUAGUGGGAUCACGCCUGUGAACAGCCACUGCACUCCAGCCUGGGCAACAUAGCAAGACCCUGUCUCUU